CGAGUAGCUCCUAGAUCCGAGGUGCGGCGGAGACGCGCGCUCCCGACCCGCAGCGGAGGCGGCGCGGGGCGCCGGAGCAGGGCUGCAGCGCGGGAGCCGCCUCCCCAGCGCGAGAGCCGCCUCCCCAGCGCGAGGCCGCCUUGGCCAAGAGGAGGUGAGCUUUGCAGAUCCCUUUCCUGCUCACUUUGCCCCUCCGAGUCCGGGUCAGAGCCUGAGUCAGAGAAUUCUUUGCCAUCCCGGGCUCUGCAGUGGGUCCCUCGGGUCAACUUUGGGUAACAGGAGGAGCUCAUUAGCUGAGCAAGAGGGAGUGGGGUAUCAUGAAUCAAGGCUUAUGAAAAAUCGGCAGCAUUGAGUUCAAGUUCAGUAAGGCCAGAGCCCCCCCAUAAUGUGCUGCUUAAAUUACUACCUCGAUUUUAGUUUCUCUUCCUGCCCACUGGUCCAGGUGUCAAAGGGCAGUCAGACGUUCAAACGGGGUCCCAAAGGGCUAGCACUGGGCCGGGAGUAGUUUCAGCAUAGCAGGGCUGGCUCAUCUCUUCCUCCCUUGAGUCCUUAUUGCAUGCCAGGCAUUGAUCUGGGAAUACAGGUGCUUGGUGCUUGCAUUCUACUAAAGAGACAGGCAUAAACAUAACAAAUAACUAAAAUACAUAGUAUGUGAGAUAGUGAUGAAGUGCGGUGGACAAAAAAGAAGGGAGGAAAUGGGAUAAUGUUUGGAGGUAGGGGGUGCAUUUUUAAAUGGGAUGGUCAAAGAUGGCUUCACAGUGGAGUAAAGAUCUAAAGGAGAUGAGACAGAAAGAAGUCACGCUGGUAUCUGGAGAGAAAGCACUUGCUGUGUGGCAGGCACUGAGAUGUUCUUUACUGCACUAGUCAUUUCUUUUACUACUCUCCAUAUGCCAUAUUAGACAGGUAUUGCCACCAUUUCCAUUUUACUGAUGAGAAACUGUAACUUAGGAAGGUUAAAGGAACUGCCCAAGGUCAUAUGCUAGUCAAUAGAGGAGCUUGCCUUCAAGGUCAGGAAGCCUGGUGCCCCAGAACCAUAGUUUAACCACCAUUAUACAGCAGCAGGGGAAAUGCAGCACCCAUGCAGGCUGGUGGCAGUGUGAUGAACUCAAGCUGGUGGUGCCAAAAGAGGAUUCCUGGAAAUGACAUCUCAUCACUGAUUUUUUUUUAAAAGCUCAGUUUCAUUACCACUUGUAAAAUGAAAUAUUUUGAACACCAUUUUUCUUCUUCUUCUUUUUUUUAAUUUUAAGUUCUGGGAUACAUGUGCAGAAUGUACAGAUUUGUUACAUAGGUAUACAUGUGCCAGCGUGGUUUGCUGCAUUUAUCAACUUGUCAUCUAGGUUUUAAGCCCCGCUUGCAUUAGGUAUUUGUCCUAAUGCUCUUCCUCUCCUUGCCGCCCACCCCCGACAGGCCCCGGUGUAUGAUGUUCCCCUCCCUGUGUCCAUGUGUUCUCACUGUUCAACUCCCACUUAUGAGUGAGAACAUGCUCAUUUGGUUUUCUGUUCCUGUGUUAGUUUGCUGAGAAUGGUGGUUUCCAGCUUCAUCCAUGUCCCUGCAAAGGACACAAACUCAUCCUUUUUUAUGGCUGCAUAGUAUUCUAUGGUGUAUGUGUGCCACAUUUUCUUUAUCCAUUCUAUCAUUGAUGGGCAUUUGGAGUGAACAGGCAACCUACAGAAUGGGAGAAAAUUUUUGCAAUCUAUCCAUCUGACAAAGGUCUAAUAUCCAGAAUGUACAAGCAACUUAAACAAAUUUACAAGAAGAAAACAACCCCAUCAAAAAGUGGGCAAAGGAUAUGAACAGAUACUUCUCAAAAGAAGACAUUUAUGCAGCCAACAAACAUAUGGAAAAAAGCUCAUCAUCACUGGUCAUUAGAGAAAACCAUCUUUAUAGUGUGUGUAUGUAUCUUCUGCCUCAUCCACAAGCAGUUUGAUUCUAAAUAACAUAAUUUGACAAUCUGUGAUAAGAUUUAUUAAUCAUUCCCCAAGUGUCCACACCAGUUCCAGUUGCUCAUUCCUAUUCACAGGGAUGUGAUUCCUCACCCCUGCAGUAGAGCCUCUGCCAAGUGUCUUCAGGGCAUUGUGAAAAAGAGUGACAAAACUGCUGCUUCUGAGGGGCUACGGUGUGAACAGGCCAAUUUCUGCCUUAGCUGUCGGCAUCAGGUGGCCUUGUUCUGGGCAGAGCAUCAAUGGCUCCAGACAGAAAACCAGGGCACAUUGUACUUUGUGAAAAAGGCAGGUCACUAACCCUUGGUUUCAGAAGCUGAAACUGCAGCAUCUGGUGAAACAAUGACAUCAAUAGGAUGGCCAAGCCCACAUUUCUCUCCUAGAUAUCUCCACCUCCUCAUGGUUGCAUUCAUUCCUGUCUUCCUUCCUCCACUGUCAGCAAAAAUCUUUUGACCUUUCCUUUGUAGGAAAGGUCUUUUCAAACACCACUUGUCCCAAAAAGCCUUCCUCAUUGUCUCAGCUACAAACGAACUCUUAAUCUAAAAUCUGAUACCUCUCUUAUGGCACCUGACAUUUCCUACUUUAUUUUAAAAUUUAGCCUAUACUGUAUACCUUAACUCCUCCAUAGGCCAAAUAUUAAUUUAUAUUUAAUUUCUCCACAGGUCCUAGCAUAAUGUCUUCUACCCAGUAGACAUUCAAUGAGUAUAUUUUUACUGUUGUUCUUAAUAAAUUAAUCUGCAAGAAUACAGCUUCAUUGUCUUUUAAUUUUGUCUUUUCAUUCCAAGAUAACUCACAGAAAUUUAGUGACAGGACUAAGUUAUAUGUAGCUAUAGCUGUUGUUCAUCAAUAUAAGUUGACAAUGGUUUGUCUUGAGGUAAAUUCCAUUUGCCUUAUUUCAAGAUUAGAAAACAGAGGCUUUAGAGUAAUCUCCCUUAGGUCACAAUACUAGUCUUCAAGAGAGCCAGGAUUUAAACCCAGCACCGUUUGGCUCCAAAAUGAGCUCACCACAAGCUCAUACUUCUCUUUCAGUCGUUCAUUCAGGAAUGCAUUCAUUUGAUCUUUCAACAGAUAUUUGCAAACAUUGACUGUGCUCAGCUCUGUCCUAGACACCAGGAAAAUAGCAAUGAUUAAAACACAGUCCUUGUCCUCAAAAUGCUCACAAUCCUGUAGAAAGGACAAAGGUGACACCAUCUAGUUAAGAAGUAUUUUAUGGAAAAAAAUACACAGCAAUGAAACACAGCAAGAAUGUUCCCAGACGUCUGAGUAAUAAAGAAAGAUUUGAAAACAGAGUGAACUAAGAAAAUGCCCGGAGGCAUUACAGCAGAGGUGGAGAGCAGAUAGGGAAAAGGAAGUAGAGAGAAAAUAAGGGAACAUGAGCUCUGGCAUGGUUUCUUGGCAAUGGGCUGGCUGGCAGCUGGCAGCAUCAGGAAAACAGGGGCUCAGUGUUGACUCAAGACCUGGGAAGCUCCAUUUAUUUUCCAGUUGAUUAGGACCAAUGCCAGCAGUCAGGCUCAGCAGGAAGCAGUAAAAUCAAGACUUGUCUCAGAGAAGGACACAUCCCUGAUAGUUAAUGUGUCUGGGCAUGGAAAACCUGGCUUUUUUAUAAUGAGUCCAACAACAAGGCAGGACCAACUGAAGAAAGUGAUGAGAAAGAAAAAUUGACAUUGUUUUCAGAAGUUAAAGUACAUACUAUGACACAGUUACCUCUCUAACUUGUUUCCUUUAGAGACGAGGAUAAUCUAUCAUCCAGUCAAAUCAAAGGCAAAACCUCACACACAAAGGAACCCAGGAAUUCUACUAGCUAAAGCCAACCCAGGGAGCAGCAAGUACAACUCAUAUCAAGGAUACAGUUUCCUCCUUUUCCUCAAUUAAGUUUCAGAAAGUAAAUAGGAGGAGUGAGUGUUCAGAAGCCCCAAGGCUUGCAAGAUGUGAGGAGUGCAUGCUGCAAAUGGUCACGUUCUCAUCGUGAAUUGCUCCCAUCUCAUUAAUGGCAACAAUUCUCUGCCCAUUUCUUUCUUAGGGAACACAUGCCAGGGCACCGCACACCUCUGCAGGCUCAUACAUACAGGACCUCAGCCCCUACUUCCUGGUAAUAUUCAUUUUUUCUUUCCCUUCCAAUGUUUAAUCAUUUACUUGAAGCUUCCCGCUUGCUGCUAAUCCUAUUGUUUUGUUCCUCCAGUAGAACUGCACAGACUUCCACCCACAUAACGUGGCACUAGGCAGACAAAACAUCUGAUAUAUUUUAGUUCAUGCUUGGCAUUCAAUCAAGAAGACGAAGCUGUGAGCCAUGCUGAAAUGCCAACUAAAAUUCAUUUUGCACUACCAGAAAGAGAGAGAGAUGGCACACCGAGGAGAAACUGUAGCCUCAUGGCGAUCAUGUGUAGCCCUAGGCUCUAACACUAGCAAAUUUCUUUCCCUCAAAAUUGAAUUGGUGCAUUUUGAAGUGAAAUCCUGAUGGCUUCUUGUUUACUAUCACACAAUAAUGAGGAAGCUUCAGUUUAUUGGCACGGAGCUCAGCCACUCUCAGACAGCAAAUGGAAAAGAGAGACUAACUUGUCCUGGUGCUUUGCUCCUUGUUAUUCCUUUAAUUGUGUCACAGCCAAUACAACGCAUGAUGGAAUUAUUCCGAAAUAGAGAAACACGUUGAGCCUAGACAUUGACUGUUACAGCGGUGUGGGUGGAGUCCACACAUACUCAUGCCCCCUCUCUUUCCCACAUGCCUGCACACCUGUCUAUUCAGUGAGGGGAAGAUGAGGUCUUGCAGCCCUGGGUGGCUUCAUCUGCCCAUGAGGGUCACUUUUCUCUUCUUGGUUCUUUUACCUCAAAGAUAUUCUGUGAUCACUAUGUGCUGAAAGCAUUCAGCAUUCUUCUGCCUCUGCUCAAAUUAUCACUAGUACUGUUCUUAACAUUUCUGGUCCCACCAAAAUUCAUGCCCAUUUUGUAGAAACUGACCCAAUGUGAGGAUGAUGAAUAAUAAAAAGGAGGUGUGUGUGUGCGUGCGUGUGUGGGUGUGUGCAUGUGCGUGUGUGUGUGUAUCUGGGUAUGUGUGUCUGUGUAUAAAAUCUCAGAAAGAAAUGUUGAAAUAAAUAUGAAACAUUUAAAUUUUUUAUUAUUUUAAAGGUAAUAUCAGCACUUUUUGGAAAACAAAAUAGAAG
rnacentral:lncRNA from 1 species